rnacentral:rRNA from 1 species
GACGAACGCUGGCGGCGCGCCUAACACAUGCAAGUCGAACGAGCGAGCGAGAGCUUGCUUUCUCAAGCGAGUGGCGAACGGGUGAGUAACGCGUGAGGAACCUGCCUCAAAGAGGGGGACAACAGUUGGAAACGACUGCUAAUACCGCAUAAGCCCACAGGUCGGCAUCGACCAGAGGGAAAAGGAGCAAUCCGCUUUGAGAUGGCCUCGCGUCCGAUUAGCUAGUUGGUGAGGUAACGGCCCACCAAGGCAACGAUCGGUAGCCGGACUGAGAGGUUGAACGGCCACAUUGGGACUGAGACACGGCCCAGACUCCUACGGGAGGCAGCAGUGGGGAAUAUUGCACAAUGGGGGAAACCCUGAUGCAGCGACGCCGCGUGGAGGAAGAAGGUCUUCGGAUUGUAAACUCCUGUUGUUGAGGAAGAUAAUGACGGUACUCAACAAGGAAGUGACGGCUAACUACGU